rnacentral:rRNA from 1 species
UUGGACGUAAACUUGGCUGUCACCCCCACCCACAGCCCGCCAGAGAAUUACAAGUGAAAAACUUGAAACUCAAAGGACUUGACGGUGUCCUACUCACACUAGAGGAGCCUGUCCUAUAAUCGAUACUCCACGUUAUACCUUACCCCCCCUCGCCAAUCAACCUAUAUACCGCCGUCAUUCAGCCUACACUGUGAAACCACCACCGUAAGCAAAACCACCAACACAUAAACACGACAGGUCAAGGUGUAGUUCAUGGGGGGGACAGAGAUGAGCUACAUUUUCUACUGUAGAAAAUCACCGCCAGCACUGUGAAACCCUUGCUUAAAGGCGGAUUUAGAAGUAAACUUGGCAAGACUAUGCCAACUUGAAUACGCCCUAGGACGC